UAGUUGUUUAGUUGUUGUUGGGUGUAGUGAAGGGUUAACCUUCUGUGCCUCGAGCCUGAGAGGAGGCGCGUACAAGGGAAGUACGCCAGGACGUGACGAAAGCAGCUUGGAAUGCUGUGAGCUGAGUGGAAAUCGAAAGCAGGUUGUUGCGUCGCUGCACUGAGAGAGAAGGACGCAGAGAAAAUGCAGCUCCACUCUGAUGGCUGUUAUGGAUUGUAAAUACGCCAUUUUGUUCCCAAUAAAGAGAUAUUAGGAUAGAAGAAACGUUUGGAACUUAUUUACUGCUCUUUCGACACACGCCGCUGUGUAACUCUGCUAAUUGCUUUACGAUCUACAGAGGCUCCCAGGGGAAGCGUGGCUGGGCGCCGAACAAUAAAGCAAUAAAUCUACCGAAGAGUUGUUUAGUCGUGUCCAACUCUUUGUGACCCCAUGGACCAGAGCACGCCAGGCACUCCUGUCUUCCACUGCCUCCCGCAGUUUGGUCAAACUCAUGCUGGUAGCUUCGAGAACACUGGCCAACCAUCUUGUCCUCUGUCGUCCCCUUCUCCUUGUGCCCUCAAUCUUUCCCAACAUCAGGGUCUUUUCCAGGGAGUCUUCUCUUCUCAUGAGGUGGCCAAAGUAUUGGGGCCUCAGCUUCAGGAUCUGUCCUUCCAGUGAGCAGUCGGGGCUGAUUUCCUUCAGAAUAGAGAGGUUUGAUCUUCUUGCAGUCCAUGGGACUCUCAAGAGUCUCCUCCAGCACCAUAAUUCAAAAGCAUCAAUUCUUUGGCAAUCAGCCUUCUUUAUGGUCCAGCUCUCACUUCCAUACAUCACUAUUGGGGAAACCAUAGCUUUAACUAUAUGGACCUUUGUCGGCAAGGUGGUGUCUCUGCUUUUUAAGGUGCUGUCUAGGUUUGUCAUUGCUUUUCUCCCAAGAAGCAGGCAUCUUUUAAUUUUAUGACUGCUGUCACCAUCUGCAGUGAUCAGGUCUAAAUUACUAUUACUACUACUACUACUACUAUUAUUACUAUUCCUCAGUCUUUCCAUACAUCCUCAGUGAGAAUGGCAACAGGGAGAAAGGUUGGGGUUUUCCCCUUUUCUUUCCAUUAACUAUCAUGCUUGCUACUGACAGCAGGGGUCCAUGAGAAACAUAGUUAUCCAAAGGGCUCUUUAGGAGGAAUACGCUUGUUCACCUUCCCUGCUGCUUCUCCCACCAUCAAAUUAAGGGAAGGAAGGGGGAUUCAUCCUGGGGUUGGAAAGAAUGGUGGAGAAGAGUGGAGACAAUAUAUUGCCCUUUAAUUUUGCUUAGGAACUUUUUUCUUUCUUUCAGGUCUCUGCUCCUCACAUGAAUUCCCAGAAAAGUAACAAACCAUGGUGUCAGGGACUGGGCAGAGGAGGAAUGGUGAAGACUGAGCCUUCCAGAGAAGAGGAAGACAGUUCAGAUUUACAACAGUGGUUUGUAGGAGGUCACAGCCCAGAGACAGAUGAGGGAGAAAGUUGGGAAAUAAUGGGAGAGGAGGAGGAGGAACAGGAAGCACUAGGGGGGCGACAGCUGAUGGACACAGUGUCUUUAGAAAGCAUUCCAGACCAGUCCCCUUUCCCAGAACCCGGCGAG
rnacentral:lncRNA from 1 species